CACUCAGGAAAGGAUGAGUGCAAUACAAGCAGCCUUGGGGGCCAAUGCCUAGGUUCAGGAGAAGGUUGUAGAGUGCCCGCCCUGGGCAUUGGCACAUGGGCAAGGCAGAGUUCACUUGAUGAACAUGGAGUUCACUGAUUCUGCUGGUAUAACUAACAGCUAGCCCAGGAAGUCUCCUGAGUACUGAGACUAUAGUGGGCUGCCAUACCUGCCCACACACGCCAGCUUUUCAUAUGGGUGGUGAGGAUCUGGACUUUGGUUCUUAUGUUUCCAUAGCAGAAGGGACAUCCCUGACCUUGGGCCUGUCACAUCAUAGAAGCUUAAAGAACUAGGUAUCAUGUGAACAAAUUCUUCUGCUCCAUGUGUCCUCAGCAAGGCAUCUUACAGUGAGGAAAGGAAGGCCGUGUGAGCCACAUUGGUCAGGACCCAGAACAGCAGUGUUUCGUCUCCACCUUUUGAGGUCACCAGGCAGGGGACUCUCGGGAUGUUGCUGACUUAAUGGGAGACUCUACAGAAGGCAUCACAUGGUCCCUUUUCACAGCAUCCUGCUCAGACCAGCAGCACCCUGGCGUUGAAGACAGUUGUGGACUCCCACCCUCUGUGCUCCAGGGUCCUCUCGUAAGUAACAGAUCCAGGCCUCAUAGUGGCCCCACAAGUCUUGCUUUUGGUCUUCCCUGUAUAAAGGAGGACCCUAGACACAGGCAGGUAGAAGGACGUACCGCACCGUCUCCACGACUAAAUCUGCAGUCUCUCUGGGACUUAUCUGCAUGGACAAGGGGAAUCCUUCUUGAUCUACUCUAAGGCAUGACUCCCCACCCUCCAAGGAGGAACCUCAGGCCCCUGAAUGAAUGUUUCUGUGGACAGAUCUAUGUAUGGGUCCUGCUGAUGCAACCGAGGUUUCCCCUGGGCUCUCCCAGGCAAUCUGUGACAAUGAUGCUUUCUUGGUA